AACGAACGCUGGCGGCAUGCCUAACACAUGCAAGUCGAACGAGACCUUCGGGUCUAGUGGCGCACGGGUGCGUAACGCGUGGGAAUCUGCCCUUGGGUUCGGAAUAACAGUUAGAAAUGACUGCUAAUACCGAAUGAUGUCUUCGGACCAAAGAUUUAUCGCCCAAGGAUGAGCCCGCGUCGGAUUAGCUAGUUGGUGAGGUAAAGGCUCACCAAGGCGACGAUCCGUAGCUGGUCUGAGAGGAUGAUCAGCCACACUGGGACUGAGACACGGCCCAGACUCCUACGGGAGGCAGCAGUGGGGAAUAUUGGACAAUGGGCGAAAGCCUGAUCCAGCAAUGCCGCGUGAGUGAUGAAGGCCUUAGGGUUGUAAAGCUCUUUUGUCAGGGAAGAAACGGUGAGUUCUAAUACAGCUUGCUAAUGACGGUACCUGAAGAAUAAGCACCGGCUAACUACGUGCCAGCAGCCGCGGUAAU
rnacentral:rRNA from 1 species